AUGUGUGUGGAGAGCGAUGGAUGCGAUAUUGAGGGCUGCAGCAGCUCGGAUGAGGUGCGGACGCUUUCGGGCAGCAUGAGUCCCAGACUGCGCUCCAGCCCGGACCUUCACCCCUGCACACCGGGCCAGAAAUUCCGCACCGCGCUGCUCAAAUGCCGUUCGCCGAUUGCUGCUGCCGUUUUCCUCAGCUUUGGAAACGUUCUCAAUUACAUGGACAGAUACACCGUAACAGGUGUUCUGCUUGACAUCCAGCGGCAUUUCCAGGUAUCAGACAGUGGAAUCGGCUUGUUGCAAACAGUCUUCAUCUGCAGCUUUAUGGUGGCGGCUCCCAUCUUUGGUUACCUGGGCGACCGCUUCAACAGAAAGGUCAUCCUGAGCUGUGGCAUUUUCUUCUGGUCCAUUGUCACUCUGUCAAGCUCAUUCAUCGGUAAAAAGUACUACUGGCUCUUUGUGCUCUCCCGAGGCCUGGUGGGGAUUGGAGAGUCCAGCUACUCCUCCAUCUCCCCCACCAUCAUAGGAGAUCUGUUCACCAAUAAUAAACGCACCAUUAUGCUCUCCGUCUUCUACCUGGCCAUUCCCCUGGGCAGCGGCUUGGGUUACAUCCUAGGAGCUGGUGCAAAAGAUGCUGCUGGAGACUGGCAUUGGGCUUUGAGGGUGUCCCCCCCUCUCGGCAUCACGGCGGGAGCUCUGAUCCUCCUUUUUGUGCCCGAGCCCAAGAGGGGUAGCGCAGACCAGAUGGGAGGAACCAUCAUGGCCAGAACCUCCUGGAUCUGCGACAUGAAAGCCCUCGCCAAGAAUCGGAGUUACGUGUUCUCCUCCCUGGCUUCAGCCUCAGUGUCAUUUGCCACCGGUGCCUUCGGCAUGUGGAUUCCCAUCUACCUGACCAGAGCGCAGGUGGUGCAGAAGACUGUGGAUGACUGUACAACAGACGUUUGCAGCAGCACAGACAGCUUCAUCUUCGGGGCGAUCACCUGUGUGACUGGGCUGUUGGGCGUGGUCAUCGGAGCUGCCACCACCCGCUUCUGUCGACAGAGGACGGAGCGAGCCGACCCGCUGGUGUGUGCUGUCAGCAUGCUGGGCUCAGCCAUCUUCAUCUGCCUCAUCUUCGUGGUGGCCAAGAAGAACAUAGCUGGAGCCUAUGUUUGCAUCUUCAUUGGAGAGACGCUGCUUUUUGUGAACUGGGCCAUAACGGCGGACAUUUUAAUGUUUGUUGUUAUUCCCACAAGAAGAGCAACGGCGGUCGCCUUUCAGAGCUUCAUUUCUCAUCUGCUGGGUGAUGCUGGAAGUCCAUACCUGAUAGGACAGAUCUCCGACAGUCUCCAGAAGAGCUACACCACAUCAGCCCUGUGGAAGUUCCUCAGUUUGGGCUAUGCCCUCAUGCUGUGUCCCUUUAUCAUUGUCCUGGGGGGCAUGUUUUUCCUGGCAACCGCACUGUUUUUUCUGGAUGACAGAGAGAAGGCCGAAAAACAACUGAACAAGCUGACACGACCGCCCUCUUCAGUUCGGGUAUGACAAGCUGACAAAUGGGGAAAAAAACCACAAAAGGAUGACAAAAGGAUGAAGGAAACCUCGCCUGACUUCUCUCACAAUGAGCUCUACUGCCUGUUGUUGCCACCGUGACCAUCCCUCUUCUCUCUCGCGGAGGCACCUCUGAACUGGAACGAGGGAGCGUCUUGCCCCUCCUCUACAGGACAGGCGCUCUCCUCCAACAGCGACCGCUCCCCUCAUUUUGGUCUGGGAGGAGUCACUGAACCUUUCAGGGAGGAGGGGGGGGGUGCAUCAGCCCUCUCUGAUCCCUGUGACUCCUGAUGCCAUACUACUGAAUGCUGACAAUGAACCUGCCCUUCCUUCCUGCCUGCCUGCCUGCCUGCUUGUCCAAUAGUAAACGUCGAUCUGGCUCUUCCAUCAGCUGUCAAUCUGCACUAACUACCACAAAUCAUUACAUUCCUUCAGACUUUGCACUGACCGCCAAAAACCCUUGAGACUUCGUCAGCAGGUGUGUUUACAUGCAUGCAGCAGCUCAGCUCCAGACCGAGCGGAUUACAUGCAUCUCCCCAUCUUUAUAUUUAUUUAUUUAUUCAGUUUUAGCUUUAGCCUAAAGGAAUCAUUUUCACUCCGCAACUCAUUUGAUUCUGGAGUUCAGGGUCUGAAAACUGACACAAUAGCAGCAAAACACUGCAAAAAGAAAAAAACAAUCGCUUGUUAUCACAAGUUGUGAUUACUAAUUAUCAUCACAACUAAUGAGACCAUCUCCCAAUCCGUCAUCCCGUCCCUGUCACAGUGUUAACAGCAAAAACCUGGUUUACAUGACGAAUGCAGUAUUUUUGAAGACUCUGCUUUGCUGUGCAUGUAAACAUAGCUGCUAGUCAAAGAGCCAAAAAUGAUGUUGCUGUUUAGUGGGGAUGGGGAACGAGCCUUUGGAGCAGCAGCUUUGAGCCUCACUCACCCCACGUGUGUUUCUUCAUUUGAGCUUUUAGCACUUAAAUCAGCGUGGACGGUGCCAGGCAUGAUCUUUCAGUGAUUUUUAUUCUGGCCUUUUUUCUGUGCGUGUCAUGCUGAAACUGCAGGCUGCUGUCUAUGAUUGUUUUAGAAGGAUAAUGCUGCAAUUCAGGUGAUUUUUGAGUAGACACUGGAUUUUUAUAUCUUUUAUUUAUUUUUUGCCUUUUUCCCCCUCUUUUUUUUUUGAAAAAUGAAUUCCCCGUUUUUGUGUUUUGUUUUUUUUGUUUUGUUUUACUUCAAAAGUGGCAAAAUAUUUUUUUUCUUAAAAAAGCACAGCAACUGUUUUCCAUCCACACUGCCUUAUCAGUGAGCAGAGUUUCUCUUCAGAGCUCUCUGAUGGUUGGUUUUGAAUUUCUGGACACACAAACACCCACACAGAUAGAAAGUGACUUUUAAUGAUGGAUUCCAGCCCAGUCCCCCUGGUUACAAUAAUGUGCAUUGAGAAGCGAGUCCCGCCCCCUGCCAUUGUACAUAUCUAAUUCCGUGGCUUGCAGAAAGGAUCUUUGAAAGGAGAUGGAGACACAGCCAUCAGAUUAUGUCUGGAGUCAAAACCUGAGACAGCAGCAGGAAAUUCUCUGGCCUGAGGUUAGACUGAUGUGAGCUUUUAUCAGUGAGAUGUGAGACAUUCUCCUCUUUACUCUGCAGGAGAUGAGAGGUUCUUUUACCUAUUAACCUGCAGCAGAAAUUGACAUUAAAAAAGAAUUCAUAACCCUUUUUUAUGUUUUGACAAACACUACAAAUUCAGUCUGUUGCAAACUAGAUGUUCAUCGAAAAAGCUACAGCUAACAAAAACUGACCUCAGAUGCUUAGCAACAAGCUACUGUGAGGGAGCCAACAUGGUAGCUCCAUUUCUUUUAAGUAUUGCUGUUUUAAAGAGACCUUGAUGGAGGCAGUGGUGUCAAAAGCUUUAGAAGGAGAGAAAAAAGAAGCUGCAGAGCUCCAGUAAAACACAGGAGGAGGAGGAGGAGGAGGAGGAGGAGGGUGGACUGACCUUUGCAGAGGACAGCUUGAGGUCGUGGUAGCUGUGACUCACUGGCCGCACGCGGGACACUCAAUGCCACAUUAUUAGCUUUAGCUUUUCUCCAGCUGUGUAGAGCUUGUCCAAUCUGACGUGUUUACACACCUUCGUCCUUUUAAACUAAGCUUCUUGCCGUCCGUUUGUUAUUUUCUUAUCUUUUUUUAUUGUUACCAAAUGAGGGUUUUUUAUGCCUACAGUAAAUAUUCAAAUAUAUAUAUACGACUAUACAUAUAGCUAAGAAAUGCAGUAACUUUUAAUAUAUUGUAAAUGAUGGCUUGGAUUGUAUUUAUUUGUUACCAUAAUGAAGAAUAAUCUAUAAGGGGAAGUUUAAGGUUUGGAAAACUUUACAUAUUAUUGUGUCAUUAAGUUUUGAAAUGUUCUUUUUAUUUUUCGUGUCACAAUGAAACAACAUAGUACCUUUUAAUGCAUCACUAACAUCCUUCCUGUUUACUGUGAUCAUGAGCGAGGAGACACACAAAAGAAAUGUGAUGAGUUCCUGGUGUCAUUGUAAGGACGAAACACCCUUGCUUUCAUGCUUUUUUUUUAUGUUUUUAUUUUGGUUAGAAACAAGUGAUCAAACCAUUUUGCACACAUAUUGUUCAGGGAUUUAUUUGAACCACAGCCUGGAAUCAGCUUCACAGCCUCAUCUGUGACGACUCACAGCGAGUGCCGACACGCUGCCGUCAGACAGGAAGUUGGCUCUGGUCAGAUGGGUCAUGAGCAGAGUUUCACCUUUACAAAUUUAAGUAGAUUUUAGCACCAGUCCUUUAGCUUGUUGUGUAGAGCUCUUCUGUGUUGAGAAUCACUGAAGCAAAACUUCUUGUCAUACAAGAAUCCUGUACAAAGAAGCCUAUUUCUGAUGUUGAGCAGAAAACAGAGCUUAUUUUUAUUAGUAGACCAAGUCAGUUUAGAGAAGCAUCAGAAAAAUUUAAGGAUAUUCAUGAACAACUGAACUGUGAUGCUCCUGUUGGGGAUAGGGGGUAACUGCUAAAAGAAAAUGUAAAUGUUUGCAAUUCAAAUAAACCUAUUUAAUCACUUCA